rnacentral:rRNA from 1 species
UACGUAGGGUGCGAGCGUUGCCCGGAUUUAUUGGGCGUAAAGGGCGCGCAGGCGGCUACGCACGUCCGUUGUGAAAUCCCUCGGCUCAACUGAGGAUCGUCGAUCGAUACUGCCGUUCUUGAGGAUUGCAGAGGAGACUGGAAUUCCCGGUGUAGCGGUGAAAUGUGUAGAGAUCGGGAGGAACACCGGUGGCGAAGGCGGGUCUCUGGGCAAUUCCUGACGCUGAGGCGCGAAAGCGUGGGGAGCAAACGGG